rnacentral:rRNA from 1 species
GAUGAACGCUGGCUACAGGCUUAACACAUGCAAGUCGAGGGGAAACGCCAUCGUAAGCUUGCUUUUGAUGGGCGUCGACCGGCGCACGGGUGAGUAACGCGUAUCCAACCUGCCCAUCACUUGGGAAUAACCUUGCGAAAGUAAGACUAAUACCCAAUGACAUCCCACGAAGACAUCUGAAUGGGAUUAAAGAUUUAUCGGUGAUGGAUGGGGAUGCGUCUGAUUAGCUUGUUGGCGGGGUAACGGCCCACCAAGGCAACGAUCAGUAGGGGUUCUGAGAGGAAGGUCCCCCACAUUGGAACUGAGACACGGUCCAAACUCCUACGGGAGGCAGCAGUGAGGAAAAGUGGUCAAUGGGCGAGAGCCUGAACCAGCCAAGUAGCGUGCAGGAGGACGGCCCUAUGGGUUGUAAACUGCUUUUAUAAGGGAAUAAAGUGGGUCGCGGGAGACGUUUUGCAGGUACCUUAUGAAUAAGGACCGGCUAAUUCCGUG